UGCUCAAGGUGUUCCGCCGCGCCCCGGUUUACUGGGGUGAGGAAAGUCCGGACAGCGCAGGGUACCGAACUCUCUGAAAGGAGAGGCGCCCGCAAGGGUGACAGACAGUGCUUCAGAAAUUUAGACCGCCGAUGGCCUUCGGGCACAGGUGAGGGUGAGAAGGUGGGGUAAGGGCCCACCAGCGUGUUGGGUGACCGCACGGCUUAGGCAAACCUUUCGGGCUGCAAGACCAUGUAAACCAGUGCUUGAGGGCGGCCCGCCCGAUGCUGGAGGGUAGGUUGCGUAGAUCAAUGGUGGAAGUCCUUUGGGACAACAGAAUCCGGCUUACUUCCUUGACGUCCC
rnacentral:RNase_P_RNA from 1 species